rnacentral:rRNA from 1 species
UAGGGAAUCUUCGGCAAUGGGGGCAACCCUGACCGAGCAACGCCGCGUGAGUGAAGAAGGUUUUCGGAUCGUAAAGCUCUGUUGUAAGAGAAGAACGUGUGUGAGAGUGGAAAGUUCACACAGUGACGGUAACUUACCAGAAAGGGACGGCUAACUACGUGCCAGCAGCCGCGGUAAUACGUAGGUCCCGAGCGUUGUCCGGAUUUAUUGGGCGUAAAGCGAGCGCAGGCGGUUUAAUAAGUCUGAAGUUAAAGGCAGUGGCUUAACCAUUGUUCGCUUUGGAAACUGUUAAACUUGAGUGCAGAAGGGGAGAGUGGAAUUCGAUGUGUAGCGGUGAAAUGCGUAGAUAUAUGGAGGAACACCGGUGGCGAAAGCGGCUCUCUGGUCUGUAACUGACGCUGAGGAUCGAAAGCGUGGGGAGCAAACAGG